rnacentral:rRNA from 1 species
CUGGAACAAUUUCAAGCAGUUUUAUCAGGUAAAGCGAAUGAUUAGAGGACUCGGAGCUCAAAGAGCUUUGACCUAUUCUCAAACUUUAAAUUGGUAAGAUCUAUUAGUUCUCUUAAUUGAACUGGUAGGCAGAAUGCAUUGUUCCAAGUGGGCUUAUCGUGGUAAGCAUGUUAAGCAAUGAGGGAUGAACCUAACGCUGAGAUAAGGCGCCAAAAUUCCCGCUCAUCAGAUACCAUAAAAGGGUGUUGAUUCAUAUAGACAGCAGGACGGUGGCCAUGGAAGUCGGAAUCCGCUAAGGAGUGUGUAACAACUCACCUGCCGAAUGAAUUAGCCCUGAAAAUGGAUGGCGCUGAAGCGGGAUGCCGAUACUCAGCCAUCAAAGCAAAUGCGAAGCUUUGAUGAGUAAGAGGGCGUGAGCACGGUGCGAGAAGCCUUUGGCGUGAGCCUGGGUUGAACUGUGUUUAGUGCAGAUCUUGGUGUUAGUAGCAAA